rnacentral:lncRNA from 1 species
GGCGGGGCGUCCCUUCUGCGCGCUCGGCUCUGAUGCAUUGGAGGGCGGAGGUUCUGGGUCUGGUUAGCGCAGGCCAAGGGAUUAAUUCGGACGCUCGCACAACGUCUGGAAGCGUUUACUGGGCUUUGUGACUAUGAGCUGAUUCAUCUUCACACUCGCACGUACGAUGGAACAGGUACAGAGAGACUGAGUGUCUUGCCUGAGGUCACACAGCCAGGAACUGGCAGUCAGAAUGUACAACUGUCCACCGGCUGGACAGCUUCCUCAGGAGCGUGUUGAAGCUCACUCCAACCCCCCCGGCUCCCAGACCUUCCUUGCACUGCCCGAGAGCCUUUCCUGGCCCGCAGGUCCUCCCUGAUGGGACUCUGCUUAGGUGGCCAACUGUAUAAGUCCACACAGCCUCAGGUUGCAAAAUCUAAGUUGCUUCAUCCUCCCCGGCCACCCUGUCCCUCUCCUCCGUCUCCUCAGAUUCCAUCCAAAUUCGCUGUGACCACCACUGAAAUCCAAACUCAAAAAAGUAACCGAGUAGCUGGCCUUCAGCCUCCCCUCACCCGACUGCCUCCCACCGCACCUGUUCGACACAGGGCUCCGAUUCCCACCCAACUCCUGCAUUGGUCACUCCCACCGCUACAGAACCCCACUGCCCGGCUCCCCACUCACUUCUUUCCAAUUUUUCCAACAGGCCCACCUGGUCCCUGCCUCAGAGACUCUGUGGCGGUUCCUUGGAUCCUCCUGGGAGGCUGUGCUAAAGUUCUGACCCAAAGUCCAUCUUUACCCAGCCCCCGCUUUCCUUCCUUUGACACCCCUCUCAUCAUGCAGUUGUUUUCUGGGUCCCUUUCUUUGCUCCUUCACCGUCUAUAUCUCCCACUCUGAAAUGAAGGAGUGGAGCCUGGUGCGGGUGGUGUGCAGAUCUGUUGUACCCCCAGCUCGGGAGGCCGAGGCAGGAGGAUCACAAGUUGGAGGCCAGCCUCCUCAGCAACUUAGCAAGGGGGCCUAAGCAACUCAGCGAGACCUUGUCUCUUAAUAAAAUACAUUUUAAAAAGGGGGGUCGCUGGGGAUGGGGCUUGGUGGUUAAGUACCCUGGGGUCAAUCUCUAGUACCAAAAAAGGGAAAUUUUCUGGAAAGAUACACCAAGUGCUCCUAGUGUGACUCCUUCUGAAGUGGGGUGGACACAGGCACGUGUAUUUAACAUACUUUUUAUGAUUAAAAAUAUUUUUCUUCUAUUGCAAAUACUGUGGUAGUUCCUCGGAAAAAUGAAGCAUUAAAAUCACCCCAGGAUUCUGCCAUCAGACCUCUGCAUGUAUCUACCCAAAGAAUUUAAAGUAGAGGCUGGAACAGAUAUUGAUAUUGAUACAUUGAUAUUGCCACAUCGCGUUCCCCGGGAAGUAUUAUCGGCAGGAGAUUCUCAGAUACUGGAGACUCCAGUAAGAGUCAGGGGAAUUUCUGUGGGUUUUUAGGCAGAGGUGUGACAUUUUAUAGAGAUUUCUCUACAAGCAAAGUCUCCAGCAUAUGGUGAGAAUGGAGGCAGGGAGGCUGGAUAAGAGGCCCCUGCUAGAAUCUAAUCAAUACCUGAGCUCAUUAGUGACACAGAGGAACCCAAACAGGAGGAGGCCAGCUCUGCACGGAUUGCGGGCUCACAGAGUGGACAGUCUCCUCUACCGUCUGCCAUUUGGCCAGAGUCCCAAAGCAGUUGGGCUGCCCUGAUCGCAGUUGGGAACGUUCAAAACUGUGAGCCAAAAUAAACCUUCUCUCUUUAUAUGUGACGGAGCCUGGGGUGCUUUAUCCUGGUCACUGUGAAGCCGGCUAAUAUCCUAUCAAUGAUCCUCCAUGAGGAUCAGACUGUAAAUAAAUUAAAUGGUUAUUCAAGGUUUGGUGUCUCGUUAACAAAGCCUAAUGAAUUUCUUUAAAGGAAAGGGGCCAAGUGUCAUUGGUGCCUCAAGACAGGGAAGGAGCCAGG